rnacentral:rRNA from 1 species
ACGUAGGGGGCGAGCGUUGUCCGGAAUUACUGGGCGUAAAGGGCGCGUAGGCGGUUUAAUAAGUCUUAAGGUGAAAACUAUCGGCUCAACCGGUAGCGUGCCUGAGAAACUGUUAGACUUGAGGGCAGGAGAGGGGAGUGGAAUUCCCAGUGUAGCGGUGAAAUGCGUAGAUAUUGGGAGGAACACCAGUGGCGAAGGUAGCCCCCUGGGUUAACACUGACACUCAUGCACGAAAGCGUGGGGAGCAAACAGGA